GACAUAAAAAGUUCCUAUGUUACGGCCAUAGGGUUGAUAGCUAAGCUAUCUUAUGUUU
rnacentral:tRNA from 1 species